GGGCCGGUAGCUCAGCCUGGAAGAGUGCGCGGUUGGCAUCCGCGAGGUCCCGGGUUCAAAUCCCGGCCGGUCCA
rfam:Metallosphaera sedula DSM 5348, complete genome.